UCGGAUGUGGUGUACGGGGCACGCCUGCGGUGGAUAAAAGUCCACGCUUCGUCUUAUCUUCAAGCAGAAAGCCCGGGUUCGACUCCCGGCGUCCGAA